UACGUAGGGUGCAAGCGUUUGUCCGGAAUUAUUGGGUGUAAAGAGCUCGUAGGCGGUCUGUCGCGUCUGCUGUGAAAACUCAGGGCUUAACCCUGAGCUUGCAGUGGGUACGGGCAGACUAGAGUGCGGUAGGGGAGACUGGAAUUCCUGGUGUAGCGGUGAAAUGCGCAGAUAGUCAGGAGGAACACCGGUGGCGAAAGGCGGGGUCGCUGGGCCGUAACUGACGCUGGAGGAGCGAAAGCAUGGGGAGCGAACAGG
rnacentral:rRNA from 1 species